UACGUAGGAGGCGAGCGUUGUCCGGAAUUACUGGGCGUAAAGAGCGCGUAGGUGGCGCGAUACGACCGGUGUGAAAUCCUCCGGCUCAACUGGAGGGGGUCACUGGUAACGGUCGUGCUGAUGAGUGCAAGAGAGGGACGUGGAACUCCGGGAGUAGCGGUGAAAUGCAUAGAUAUGACUUAGAACACCAAUUGCGAAGGCAGCUUGCUAAACAAAUAUUGACGCUGAGGCACGAAAGCGUGGGGAUCAAACAGG
rnacentral:rRNA from 1 species